rnacentral:lncRNA from 1 species
AGGUUAAGAAAACGAUUGUAUAGCUCUGUGGAGAAACGUUGAUAAGACCUUAAGGAUUUAAAAAUCCUUUGUCAUCAAUCAAAUCUAUGGCUUCCAUACAUAUCUUUGCACUUCUCAGUAAAUAAUUUAUCAAAAUGUCAUGCUCUAAGUGCCAACUCCCUAUCUCCUCCUCGGCAGCCCUGACCACCUGCCUGGGAAGGAAUUGAAGCCUGAGUUUAAUCCUGGGUAAUCAAAUAAACCGAGGACGACAUCUGGCCAUGUCAGCAUGUUUGAGCUCUUUUAUAAGUCUUCACUUGAUUUCCAGAUGUUUCUAAGUGAAUGUAAGAUUUCUGUGUAUGACAUUCUCUUUCUGAUUGCAGGACUAUCGGAACUUCAUAAGCUACAUCUGCAAGGCAUACCAUGGAACUUCUGUGCCCUCUGCUUGUAGCGAAUAUUCAGUUGGAGGCAUUCCGGCGUCUCUGCUAUACAGAACAAACAACCUAGUGAAAGUUAUCUCGCAGAAUAUUGGAUAUAACAUCAUGUGAUAAAAUAUAUUUGGUUGCUUCAAUCAUAAAAGUAUUUGGUUUCUAUGCUUUCUAAGUUAGUUUUCCUUGUUCGCAGAUAUAUGUAAUAGUAAGGCGAAACUGGUUUUAUUAAGGUUUUCAGCUGGUUCUUUGAGACACUAGGUCACUUGUAUUAACACAUUGUAAUAAGUGUACUUUGUCGUGAAAAGGAGUUGAGCGUGCCUCUCAAGGCUGUCAUUUCUGUAGUCAAAAUCAUUUUUCUUCAGACGUGAAAUUUUUCAAUAAAUGGAUUCAAAAACUUGUUCAAAAAGGUUAAAUCUCAACCUUGAGGGCCUCUAUCGCCUCACCCCUGGAGAAUCGUGAGGGAGGCAAAUUGCGGAAUGUGUUUCAACAGGUCAGAGAACAAGAAUUUGUCCGUACACUGGUGCUCACAAAUAGUCCAAUUUCAUAUCUCAGAAAUCGAACCCUCACACUGCGAUUGCUAGUAAGGUUGAGACUACCUCACUCCUAUUUUUUGCACCAUUGGGCUAUAUUCCGAGGGGCAAGAUUCAAAAACUUGUUCGCUCUUAUAGUAUGUCUUUAAAAAAUUUUAACUUGUUACUAGAGCACAAGCUUUUUUAUAUGUUAGAGGAGAGUUGUAUUUUAUAUAUAUUUAUGUGUUCGAGGAAAGUUGUAUUUACUUUGUAUUAUUUUAAUCGAUAAUAGAUUUCGGACAAGUGACUCUUAAGGCUUUAUUUGUAUAUCAUCGUACCACAUUAUUUUUCUUACAGUA